AAGAGGAAGACCAGGAAGAGGCAUUGCCAAUACUGGAUUAGCAGGAUCUGUUCUAUGGGAACAUGCACAAGGAAAUGUGCCAGUGAUUGUGUCAAGUCAAGGCAGUAAUGGAAGCACUCAAAAUCAAACUACUGGAGCUAAUGUUCAACUUACUCAUUCUGCUAGCACUAGUACUAAUACCAGAAAGAGAGGAGGGCCAAAUGCAUGGGUUGGAACUACUGUUGCUAACAAUAAUAAGAGAGCCAGACGAAAUGCAGCUCUUAAUCCACAUCAAACUCCAGCAGUCACUGCAUCUGCAACAGCUCCAACAGUCACUGCCUCUUCAAUAUCCACUUCUGCAACUACCACUGGAACUCACAAUGACAAUAGCAGCAUCAGUAUGUGGUUUUAAUUAGUACUAGUAAUAUGAGUUUUGCUUUGGGAGACUGAUCUGGUACAGUUAUA